GGAAGUGUAACUUAGUGGUAGAGCAUGUGUUUAGCAUUCACAAAGCCCUGGGUUUAAUCCUCAGCACCA
rnacentral:tRNA from 1 species